UUCUGGUUGAUCCCGCCGGAGGUCACUGCUAUUGGGAUUCGACUAAGCCAUGCGAGUUGAGAGGGUUCGGCCCUCAGCUGACGGCUCAGUAACACGUGGAUAAUCUACCCUUAGGUGGAGGAUAAUCUCGGGAAACUGAGAAUAAUACUCCAUAGGUCUAAGAGGCUGGAAUGCACCUAGACUGAAAACUCAGGUGCCUAAGGAUGAGUCUGCGGACUAUCAGGUUGUAGUCAGGGUAAUGUCCUGACUAGCCCACGACGGAUACGGGUUGUGAGAGCAAUAACCCGGAGAUGAUAUCUGAGACACGAUAUCAGGCCCUACGGGGCGCAGCAGGCGCGAAAACUUCACAAUGCGCGAAAGCGCGAUGAGGGAAUCCCAAGUGCUUGCACGUAAGUGUAAGCUGUUUUUAUGUUUAAAAUGCAUUGAGAGUAAGAGCUGGGUAAGACGGGUGCCAGCCGCCGCGGUAA
rnacentral:rRNA from 1 species